rnacentral:rRNA from 1 species
UACGUAGGGUGCGAGCGUUGUCCGGAAUUAUUGGGCGUAAAGAGCUCGUAGGCGGCCUGUUGCGUCCGCUGUGAAAGCCCGGGGCUUAACCCCGGGUCGGCAGUGGAUACGGGCAGGCUAGAGGUAGGUAGGGGAGAAUGGAAUUCCCGGUGUAGCGGUGAAAUGCGCAGAUAUCGGGAGGAACACCGGUGGCGAAGGCGGUUCUCUGGGCCUUACCUGACGCUGAGGAGCGAAAGCGUGGGGAGCGAACGGG